AUGGCUCUAUUCUAUUUUUGUUCCUUUUCCUUUUUGUGUUUGUUUCAGUUUUUAUCACAUAAAGUUUAUGCACGGUUUAAAAAAAUUCACUUCUUUAGAAUUUCAAGAACUAUUUUUCAAAUUCAUGGACUUAUUAAAAAAUUAACGAAAACAAUUCACGUGAACAUUCUGAAAUUCAAAAAUAAAUUAUGUACAUUUUUAAUUACAGGCCAUUUAAUAGAGUUCAUGAUUUUUUUAAAACUUCCAAACAAUUUUAUUAUAUUAGUGAACAAUUUGAAAAUCCAAGGGCAAUUUGUAAAAAUGAUAUCAUUUUUAAAUACUGGAUUUCAUGAAAAAGCCGAUUAA
rnacentral:rRNA from 1 species